ensembl:lncRNA
CAGCCUCCUGAGGUUGAAGAGGCGCUGCUGCGCCUUCCUCACGAUGCUGUCUGUAACUACCCACCACAAAUGGACCAGGCAGCGUGGUAACCAGGAGCAGAGGGUUCUGGACUCCUGGACUUGGGAGAAGAUACUGGAAGGCAAGGGACCCUGGGUACAGGCUGGGGAAUAUCGCCGCCCCAAGGAAGAGCUGGAGGCAGCGAUAUGAGAGUCUUGGAGCAGCCCCUGGGAUGAGUGGAAAUGCAUCGGGGAGUACGAACAAAGGAUCCAAUUCAGGAAAGUCGAAUUUCUGGUCUAAAUGCUGGCUCGGGAGAGACGAAGGUUGAAAGUCAUGCAUCCUCCGAUACACAACCCAACCAAGCCACACUGCUUCUUAACACAGCACGCAUCCAACCCGGAAGCCAGCCGCACUAAUGUGUCAGAGGAAACACUGUGCACCUGGCAACCUUGGUUAGCGUGCACUGCGCCCAGCCCACCACAAGAGUCGCUGGUGCGCGAUGAGACAAGGAUAUCCCUACCGGCCAAGCCCUCCCUAACCCGGAUGACGCUUUGCCAAUUGUGCAUCGCCCCAUGGACCUCCCAGUCGUGGCCGGUUACGACAGAGACUGGGCGUGCACCUAGAGUCUCUGGUGGCACAGCUGGCACUGGAGUACAGCACCCUUAACCACUGCACCACCCGGGAGAACCCAUCUUGUAUUUUUUUUUAUAAAUAAAGCCCUAGUACAAAGCUUCAUAAGGAAAACACUUUUUCUUCCUCAACUUGUUUUCCC